GAGGCUUAUCGCAAUUACAAAGAUAGAUACGCACAUUAAUUGGAAACGUCACAAUGCGAUAGCGGCCCAAGUCUCCUCGUACGGAAAUUGUCUCUUUUCUUAACCCAUUGUAUGUAAUAGCCAGCGUUGUUAUAACUGGUAAAGGAAUGAAAGAAGGAUAGAGAUAUAAACCACGCUGUUGAUAUCCGACAUGCAUGAGUUACAGGACACAUAUAAAAAUUGAUAUACAUUCGUAUGACAUUGAAGUUUACGUAAGGUGACAUCAAAAAUAUUAUUCUUAAAACUAUAUGAUAUUUCAUUCUGACAUGUUUUCCCCUCCAUGUUUAGAUCUUUAGAGUUUUGGCAGCUGAAGUUACAAAAAAAUUUUUUACCUGUUACAUAACUUGUAGCUGUAAACAGUUCUGGAUUCCGAUUAAAUUAAUUUAAUUGCAUCCAAUAUGCUAAGUAUGCUAAAUAUUCUUUAGAUGUGGAAGAUCGCGUUUGACCGGUUUAUCAGUUUAUUGCAUCGACCAUUUUAAAGAAUUCCACGAGAAAUGAUAUGAUUUAAUUUCUUAUUUCUAUUCUUUUUUAAAUAAAUAUUUUUUUCUUUUUUCCUCUGUUAUAAUCCACCAAUCGUUUUGAACAGUAAAUUUUCGAUAAACUC